rnacentral:rRNA from 1 species
GACGAACGUUGGCGGCGUGCUUAAUACAUGCAAGUCAACUGAAGCAGUGGUAGCAAUAUCGCUGUGGAGGUGGCGCACGGGUGAGUAACACGUAGGUAAUCUGCCUUCAGGUCUGGCAUAACUCCGGGAAACCGGGGCUAAUAGCAGAUGAUGCAGCGGCUCGACAUCGAGACAGUUGUUAAAGCUAUGGCGCCUGAAGAUGAGCCUGCGUCUGAUUAGCUAGUUGGUGGGGUAACGGCCCACCAAGGCAACGAUCAGUAGCUGGUCUGAGAGGAUGAUCAGCCACACUGGAACUGAGACACGGUCCAGACUCCUACGGGAGGCAGCAGUAAGGAAUAUUGCUCAAUGGGAGAAAUCCUGAAGCAGCAACGCCGCGUGAGGGACGAAGGGCUUUUGCUUGUAAACCUCUGUAGUGAGAGAAAAAAAUCCCAAUCUUUGGGACAUGAUGGUAUCUCAAAAGUAAGCCCCGGCUAACUACGUG